rnacentral:rRNA from 1 species
CGGCCUUCGGGUUGUAAACCUCUUUCGCCAGGGACGAAGCCUGUAUGGGUGACGGUACUUGGAGAAGAAGCGCCGGCCAACUACGUGCCAGCAGCCGCGGUAAGACGUAGGGCGCGAGCGUUGUCCGGAUUUAUUGGGCGUAAAGAGCUCGUAGGCGGCUCAUUGCGUCAACCGUGAAAACCAGCAGCUCAACUGUUGGCUUGCGGUUGAUACGGGUGGGCUGGAGUUCGGUAGGGGAGACUGGAAUUCCUGGUGUAGCGGUGAAAUGCGCAGAUAUCAGGAGGAACACCGGUGGCGAAGGCGGGUCUCUGGGCCGAUACUGACGCUGAGGAGCGAAAGCGUGGGGAGCGAACAGGAUUAGAUACCCUGGUAGUCCACGCUGUAAACGUUGGGCGCUAGGUGUGGGGGGCCUCUCCGGUUUCCUGCGCCGUAGCUAACGCAUUAAGCGCCCCGCCUGGGGAGUACGGCCGCAAGGCUAAAACUCAAAGGAAUUGACGGGGGCCCGCACAAGCGGCGGAGCAUGCGGAUUAAUUCGAUGCAACGCGAAGAACCUUACCAAGGCUUGACAUGAACCGGUAACGCCUGGAGACAGGUGCCCCGCUUGCGGUCGGUUUACAGGUGGUGCAUGGUUGUCGUCAGCUCGUGUCGUGAGAUGUUGGGUUAAGUCCCGCAACGAGCGCAACCCUCGUUCUAUGUUGCCAGCA